rnacentral:lncRNA from 1 species
AGAGGAAGUGCGAGGACCUUUUCUCGCCGGGAUUGCCCGUUCUACAGUGAUUUCUAUAAAUUUCUAAUCGACGAGCAGAUCCGCACGGCUCACCACUGAUACGCUCUUCGAACGUACAUUCGACACGCGGAAAUUAUUGCCAGCUAAUUUUUUUCUCGCUAUUCAAUUAACUACGCGAACUGGCGGACUAAAACAUCUUGGAAAGUCCUAGACGAUUUUGAAACUUUUAAUUAUAUUUAUAUUGAUGCAUAACAAUCUCUCGCAAACUGGAGUUUUAAUUGCCCGACGCAACAGAUUUUCCACGAAAAAAAAGCGCGCAUUAUGGAAGAUCGUCACGAGUGCGCAUUGAAUGCACAUUGUGUGAACGCUGUUGUCUAUCGGCCCUAACGCGAGAAGAGAAUUCCGCCGUAGGUGAGGUCUACAACCUUCGCUCCUAUUUGAAGUCUUUCCUUGAUCCGCGCGCGGAAUAACCGGUCUUCGCUCGGGUCCACCUACGAGGUCAAAUCCAACUUGCAACAUCUCUCGCGUGCAGCAUAUUUCCUAGGACGGAUCAUUGUAUCCGAAUGUAUGCGCUCUAGUUGAUGAAUCGGACAAACCGGGGGACAAAUACUUUUGUUUUUUGUAGUGAAAGGCUUCUGACGGUUUUUUUCUAUCUGGCGAAUCUUUCCUUAUUCCCUUCUUUCCGAGAGAGUGUGUGUGUGUUCAAAAUAGUCCGAGCUCUUUGAGAAGCACUCCGUAGGCGUUACGUGGGAAAAUAAGUAAUUGAUUAGGCUCCUGCUUGAUUCAUCUGACUGCGUACGUGACAUUUUAAGCAAGGUCUACCUUCUCUAGUCAAAGUGAAACAGAAAUUUGCGAUUUUUUCCUCGCAAAAAAAUGCAAAAAAUUAUGUAUCGCUUAUUCUAUUCAAACCAUAAUUAUAUUGGGAUCGUAAUAGUAGAAAAUAAUAGACUCUCAGAAGAUUGUUAAGUAAUAACAAUUUAUUAUGUAAUAAUACGAUAAAUACCUAAAAAGAUACAGUUUUCGUUUUCACAGGUUGUAAUUUUAAUACUUGUUAAUAUACAUUGAAAUUUUGAGCAAUUGCAUAUAGAUUAUUAAUUGAAUAAUAAUUGAUCAUUUUAAUAUUUUUGUAUCUCGCAAUUGCACGUACACUCUAUUCCAGUACGUUAAGUGAUUAUAACGCGAAUAAAUUCAUUUAAAUAAAAAUUUUGAAAUAAUAAAUUGUGUUCAAAUAUAUAUUAUAAUAUAUAUUAUAAUAAUUAUAAUUAUGAAUAUAUAAAUAUACAUAUAUUAUAUUUUUUACAUGUUGAAUAUCUUCUAAAGAAUGUAAUGAUAUUUACUAUUUUCUAUCCGUGAACAUCUUCAAUUAAAUUCCAAAAUACUGUAAAUCAAUAUGUCGAACAAUACCCAUUUCGAUUUACGAUCUUAACUGUACUGGAAUUAUAAUUGUACAAUAGAUAUAUUUCUGAUUUUAGUGAAUAAAUUGAACAAUGUACUAUCAAAUAAUUAAUUGUACCUAUACGUGCAGCAUGCAAUGAAUAUAAUGGUUGUACGCAUUAGUUAUUAGCAAAUAUGUGUACAAGAUGUUUAUUUCAGGAACAUAUACGUAAAAUCACAUGUAAACAGAAGUAUUUACAUAUACUGAAGGUGAUAUACAUUUGCAUCUCUCGAGCAUACCAAAAUUUGUAUCAUAAGAAAUUUUUUGUUUUUUAGAAAGUAAUUUUUAAUUUUGGAAAAAUAAGAUCUUGAAUAUCAGAUGACUUCUAGAGUAAAAACAUACAAUAAACCUAAAUCUAAUGUGAGAUAUUACAAGAACCAGUUACCUUAAAAAUUUCUUGUUUAAUUUAUAUAAUCACUUACGUCGAUUAUUUGUUUUAAUAAAAGGCAGUCAUGAAUCUUGGAAAUGUGAUAAAAAUUGUCGUAUAUUGUGUUCAAAAAGAGAUUUAAACAUGUGAUAUGUGUAGAUUUCGGAAAGAAACAAAUCGGGAGCAAUUUCUUUCCGGCGAAACGAAUGAGCAUUUAUUGUUAAUUGACCAAAAUUUUGGCACAUUUUUAAUGUGUUUCAGACCAUUUUUCUCUUAAAACUAUUUUAUGUCAUUAUAUUAUUAACAAACAAUAGGCUAUCUAAACGGCUUAACAAGUUAUAUAAUAUUGAAGGAUAAAAUUGAGGGUGCGUAAUCACUUAAUAAAAUCGUAAUUAAUUAAAAAUUGCGCAUUAUGUGUCUCUACAUUACUUUAAAGAGAUGGUAAUAUGUAUCAAAUUAAGUUGUAUUGAAAAAUAGUGAAUGCGUAAGAUUCCAGUGCUAGAGGGGAUACAUAUUCUCUCUCUCUAUUCCGUAAUAUGUAUCUAAUAUUUUGGAUAAAAGUUAUGAGAGAUUGUACGACGAUUAACUUGUAUUACGAUUAACAAGCGGAGUGCAAAAGUUAACAUUCCUCCUAUUUUUGAUGCUAGGUAUGUCCUUGAUUAAUCGCAAUAUAAAAAGUCGAUCCUAGUAAAUAAUGCGAGUCACUGAGUAUCACAAUGUUCUCUCUCGACGUAAAUAGUAUUGACUUCGAGGAGUUUCCUACGAGACACAUCAAAUGCAUGUAAAAGAAAACAUAUAUAAAUCAAUAGCAAUUUUUUGAUUAUGAAACUCAGUUACUCCAUUUGUGAUAAUUUGUCUUACAUUAAAUUACUCCAUUUAUCAAUGAUAAAUAAAGAUGAUAGCGCUGCUGAGAUCCGCACAGUGAACCGAUAUAUUGGUAGAAAUAAUAUUACAUAUUACAAUAUUCAUGUUUAACAUGAGAUAGUUUAUUAUGCACAAGCAUUUUCUGAAUAAAAAAAAGAGAAGACACUUUUUUCCGAUUCAUCAGACUUCUCGAAAGUACAUUAGAGUAAGUUAUAGUUACAGAUUAAUGUAUAAUAGUCGUACAUCUAAUUCCGAGAUAUUAAAUGCGCAUCUAUGAGAUCUUAAGGCAAUAGUGUUUUCCAUUCUCUCCAUUUUUCAAUGCUAGUUUAUACAUUUUUACUCCCCGCGUUCAUACUACAUUCAUUUUCUGUAAAUUAGAAAAUAUUGAAAACACUCCAUAUUAUAAGAGAGAACACUAAGCGUGCUAAGAACCCAUAAGCAUUUGUGUGUAUUCAAAAAUCUGUGAGAGUUUUCAGAAUUUCUGUUACAGUUGUCCAUAAUGUGCUUUUCAGUUAAGUAUGUGUAUAUAUGUAUAUCUUACUAUAUAAAUUGCAUCCAGGAAAAAUUUAUUAAUUUUAUGCAAAAGAAAAUAAAUAAUUGUAUAUGCAUCUAUUAAAGCCAUAUAUAAUAAUUAACUUAUUUAUAUUAAUAUAUUUUAGUUCACUGAUUUGAAGAACCUAUUCACAUUUUGCCUGCACUUUAAACAGAUUUUAUCUUAAAAUAUAAACGCGACAGACAAACAUUCUAUAUUUUUAUUUAAAUAAUAUAUAAUAUUCUAUAUUUCUGAUUUAAACAUACAAAAAUAUUUUAUAUUUAAGCAAUUUAAUUUUUUUAUAUUAUAUAAAAUAAGAAAGUGCUAAGCUACGCACGUCACUAAAUAAUACGUGCCAGUGAAUUAUACUUAUUGUUAGUCACUUUUAUAAUGAAAGAUUAAUUUAUUCUGUAUCACAAUAAUGAUAAAUAAAAAUACAGAUGCAAAUAUAUUGAUUAUCGGGCCUUAAUCGAUGUAAAUGCCACACAUAAGCAUGAUAUUAUAUCAUGUGUAAACUCAUUUAAUUAUAUAAUAAUUGUGUGUAAUAUAGACGUUAACAAUAGUAUCGAAUAAUAAUAUAGAAUGUUAUACUAUAACCAUUUAACAUUGCUUUACAUUUUUGAGGUGCUGAAAUUUCUCGAGAAUUUGCCAAAAUGAAUAUUUUUGAAAGUGUAAAUAUUUAACUUGCCUAAAGCUAGAUGUGUAUACGCACAAAGAUGAUCAUGCUAAGCUUGUAUUUUCUAAUCCCAGUGUCUCAUAAAGCUUUUUGAUUGGAAAAUAAAUUUUUUCGUAACCAUUGUCCUCAAAAUGGUGUGGAAAUAUAUAUACAGAUAAAUCUAAUGAUAAUGAAAAAUACACAAAUGUCGCUCUUUAGCCAUUCAGUUGAUGCACUACUAAAAAGAUUUUAUAUCAUCAUUCAAAGAUCAAACGUAUUGUUACGUAUUGUCCAUUAACGUGAUUGAAUAACAAACAGGGCUCUGUGUGUAAUAUAGACAAUGUUAAUUCAAAUAUGAAAGAUUAUUUCGAUAUUAUACUUUCAACAUAUCAGCAUACCUAUAUUGGCCCCAUCGCCACACUUAAGGCAAAAUAAGUUAUUUGUCGAGAAUACCCUUAGAGUUUGGAAUGCCAAUUCUAUUUUUCAGCCCAUCUCAAUUUCCAUGUCUUAAAAAUUGUCUAAUAUUCAGAAACAAUAUUAUAGAAUAUAAUAAAUAUAAUUUUGAAUUUACUAUAAUAAAAUUUGGAUUCUGAAUUCCUUCAGCAAAUGUUAAGUUAUAUUUCAACCACUCAGAUUUUCGUUUCUCUCCGAGUUAUGGGUCGUAUCGCUGUUUGCAAUUUAUUGUACUGUAUUACGAGUAUAAACAAAAAGUUCCACUGAACUGGUGAUUACUUAAAUUUCAACUCGCAUCUCGUGAAAAAUACGCGCAUUAAAAAAAAAAA